rnacentral:misc_RNA from 1 species
ACCGCCUCAUCGCGCUCCGUCUCAACUCCAACAACUUCUCCGGCACGCUUCCUUCCUUCAACCAGACCACCUUGAAACUCCUCGACCUGUCCUACAACAAUCUCACCGGCCCGGUGCCCGUCACCCCGACUCUCGCCAAAUUAAAUGCACAAUCGUUUUCAGGUAUGGGAGAUUUCGUGGGUUCGAAUUCUCUUCUGCAAACAAUUAACAACCGAUAUUUGCUGUUUGUUUUGGAAGUGGAAUCUCGGUAUCAUGCGAAU